GGGCCCUUCGUCUAUCGGUUAGGACAUCAGAUUUUCAAUCUGGGAAGAGGGGUUCGACUCCCCUAGGGCCUGCCA
rnacentral:tRNA from 2 species